rnacentral:rRNA from 1 species
UACGGAGGGUGCGAGCGUUGUCCGGAAUCAUUGGGCGUAAAGGGUGCGUAGGCGGGCAGGUAAGUCCGUGGUGAAAUCUCUGAGCUUAACUCAGAAACUGCCAUGGAUACUAUCUGUCUUGAAUAUUGUGGAGGUAAGCGGAAUAUGUCAUGUAGCGGUGAAAUGCUUAGAUAUGACAUAGAACACCAAUUGCGAAGGCAGCUUGCUACACAGUUAUUGACGCUGAGGCACGAAAGCGUGGGGAUCAAACAGG